GCCGCGGUUGCUUCUGGUCGGGAGGCUGAUAUUUUCUUUGGAAGUGGCGCAGAUGUUACUUUUGUUUAAAGACACUGUAAUUAAGGAAGAAGGACAGAAGUCUGAAAAAGCGUGACCUAUUUCUCUUUUGAUCAGCUGUCAAAGGAGGAGCAGGGGGUCCUUUCAAGCACGGGUCUCUUCCUAAACUUUCAGCUGGCAACAGACGAGACCACAAAUUGGGGGAACAACCGUAUUGUAGGCUACCUGUGGGGCUUUCCCCCCCGCUUGUUUGGUCGUUUGGACAGCGCGCGAACCCACUGCACCGAGACAAUUACCGUCCAAGGAUAUUAUGAUAGAAUGACGAACGAACGUUUAGGCUUGCUUUGCUUUCACAUCUCUUUUGAGAGGCAUUUUUGUAUUAUUUCCAUGUUGGGACUCCCAAUCUAGGCUAUGCGUCAAAAAUACUUACUGCUGGAAAUGGGUUAGAGUAGUCAACAAAUCAAUGUAGCCUAUUCUAAAAUGAGGCCGAGUCAACAUGGUUUCUAAACUAUAUGUAUAUCCGGCCGAUUUCUAAACUAUAUGUAUAUCCGGCCGACUAUAUGUAUAUAUGACCGAUUAGCCUAUAUUGUUUUCCAAUUUUGGGGGGCAAAGAAAAAUGGGUUGUGUGGUGACUACUUUGUACAGUAAAGUAUAUAAUCUACAAAUCACAAUACUAAACUAAUUGGAGUUUAUUGUAACAUUUUCUCUCUGUGUAAACUAGGCCUGUAACAUUUGUAGACUCGGUCUAUAUCAAUGUAAUAACCCGAAAUAUGUUAUUUUUCAAUCAUAAAGUCACACGUUUCCAAAGACAUUCUGCUAAAUUAUCAUAUAAAUUAUUAUCAUAUAAAACCUGUAUAAUUGUAUAUUUCAAGUAGCCUAAUAUAAUCUUAUAGGCCUAUACAGUAAGAGACACACACUCAAAUCUGUCAGAAAAAAAGAUAUUUGCAAAAUAUCGUUGGCCACAAAUUCAAAUCUAAUCACCCCUCAUAAAUGUAUCUGAAAGUCUAAAAUCAGAAUAAUAUGUACCACUAAUAAAACAUUAUGUACAAGUCCCUCUGAGCAUAAUACUUUCUAAACCAAAAGGAAGGGUAAUGUCUAAAAGACAAGCCUGAAUAACUCUGGGUCGAUCAGGACAUUUUUUGUUGUCCUGGUCUCUCUCUCUCUCCUGCCAUCUGCUCAGCAAAUGCAGUAGGCUAGUAUUGAUUAGUAUCAUUGUGCUACAGAGCCCAUGCUAAUCUAUACCGUUACUGGCAAUCCGUUGGCGCUUUACAUUGCAUCUGUUCAUACGCUAGUAUAGCUAGCGAUGUGAGUCCAUGACCUAGCCCUGUCUACACCCCUAGUCACUGUUUCAGAAGCCGUUAGGGCAUUUGAACUGAUUCCAGAGGCCGACCCUCAACAACGCCGCCGGAGAAGAGGCAGACGGAGCGGUCUUCUGGUCAGACUUCGGAGGCGCGCACACCACCCACCGCUUUCCCGAGUAUAUUACUCGAUGAUGUCCAGUCUAACAAGGGAGGAAAAUAAAGAAGUCAUCACAGACAAGCAGAGAAGACGAGAGAAUAGUGAAUAGAGAGGAGAAGGAUUCCAUAACCGUGAGGUUUGGGAAGCCUAAAAGCUCUUCAGUCAAGGAGACAGAUGGAAUAUAAAAUAAUUGAUUCCAAAAGCUAGUCAAUGAAGCAGCCUUUAAUGAUUGUGUGUUGGACUGUGGACAGAUGCCAUGUGGUGAAAGUCAGAGGGGAGCUAGUGAAUAAAUAGACGGAGCGAGAGAGAGAGAGAAAGAGAGAGGGAGAGAGAAAGGACAGAGAGAGAAAUGAGAGAGAGAGAGACAGAGACAGAGAGACAGAGAG